rnacentral:rRNA from 1 species
UGGCGAACGGGUGAGUAACACGUGGGUAAUCUGCCCUGCACUCUGGGAUAAGCCUGGGAAACUGGGUCUAAUACUGGAUAUGACCUUUCUCCUUAUGGGGUUUUGUGGAAAGUUUUUCGGUGUAGGAUGAGCCCGCGGCCUAUCAGCUUGUUGGUGGGGUGAUGGCCUACCAAGGCGACGACGGGUAGCCGGCCUGAGAGGGUGAUCGGCCACAUUGGGACUGAGAUACGGCCCAG